rnacentral:tRNA from 1 species
GGCAGUGUUUCCUAGUGGAUAAAGCCCUGGACUGGGACUCAGGAGACCUGGGUUCUAUUCCUGGCUCUGCCA